rnacentral:rRNA from 1 species
ACGCUCGACACCUACGGGAGGCAGCAGUGGGGAAUAUUGCACAAUGGGGGAAACCCUGAUGCAGCGACGCCGCGUGAGCGAAGAAGUAUUUCGGUAUGUAAAGCUCUAUCAGCAGGGAAGAAACUGACGGUACCUGACUAAGAAGCACCGGCUAAAUACGUGCCAGAGCCGCGGUAAUCUGAGCGGGCUGGCAAGGC